CAGGACCAGGUAAAUCCGGGCCUCAUAAACUCUGAGACGUGAUACCGAGCCGCUUCAGGCGAAGUCAUUGAUCCUAUGCUGCCUAGAAAAGCCCAGCAGCGAGUUGACAUGGUGCCCGUACCCCAAACCAACACAGGUGGACAGGUAGAGCAUACCAAGGCGAGUGGGAUAACUAUGGUUAAGGAACUCGGCAAAUUGCCUCCGUAACUUCGGGAGAAGGAGGACCCCAGUAGCGUGAUGAGACUUGCUCUCUGAGCGUGAAGGGGUGGCACAAAAUUGAGGGAAGCGACUGUUUACCAAAAACACAGCAGCGUGCUAAGCCGUAAGGCGCUGUAUACGCUGUGACUCCUGCCCGGUGCUGGAAGGUUACGGGGAUGGGUUAGUCCUUCGGGACGAAGCUCUGAACCUAAGCCCCAGUAAACGGCGGCCGUAACUAUAACGGUCCUAAGGUAGCGAAAUUCCUUGUCGGGUAAGUUCCGACCUGCACGAAUGGAGUAACGACUUCCCUAUUGUCUCAACCAUAGACCCAGCGAAAUUGAAGUACGAGUAAAGAUGCUCGUUAGCUGCAGAAGGACGGAAAGACCCCGUGGACCUUUACUAUAACUUGAUGUUGUGUUUUGUCAUAUGUUGUGUAGGAUAGGUGGGAGACUUGGAAGCAUGGACGCUAGUCUGUGUGGAGUCAUCGUUGAAAUACCACCCUGCAUAUGGUGAGGCUCUAACCUAGACCCGUUAUCCGGGUUGGGGACAGCGUCAGGCGGGUAGUUUAACUGGGGCGGUUGCCUCCUAAAGAGUAACGGAGGCGCCCAAAGGUUCCCUCAGCCUGGUUGGCAAUCAGGCGUUGAGUGCAAUGGCAAAAGGGAGCUUGACUGCGAGACCUACAAGUCGAGCAGGAGCGAAAGCUGGGCAUAGUGAUCCGGCGGUUGCGUGUGGAAGCGCCGUCGCUCAACGGAUAAAAGGUACCCCGGGGAUAACAGGCUAAUCUUGCCCAAGCGUCCAUAGCGACGGCAAGGUUUGGCACCUCGAUGUCGGCUCAUCGCAUCCUGGGGCUGAAGCAGGUCCCAAGGGUUGGGCUGUUCGCCCAUUAAAGCGGUACGCGAGCUGGGUUCAGAACGUCGUGAGACAGUUCGGUCCCUAUCCUCUGCAGCCGGAGGUGAAUUGAGGAAAGCUGUCCCUAGUACGAGAGGACCGGGACGGACGCAGCUCUCGUGUGCCAGUUGUCCUGCCAAGGGCAUGGCUGGUUAGCGACCUGCGGAAAGGAUAACCGCUGAAAGCAUCUAAGCGGGAAGCCUCUUCCAAGAUGAAUUCACCCACAGGGUUAACCUGGUAAGGCCCGUGGUAGACCACCACGUUGAUAGGCCGGAAGUGUAAGCGUGGCAACACGUUCAGCUGACCGGUACUAAUCGGCCGAGGGCUUGAGUUC
rnacentral:rRNA from 1 species